GUGGAACUCCAUGUGUAGCGGUGAAAUGCGUAGAUAUAUGGAAGAUCAUCAGUGACGAAGGCGACUGUCUGGUCUGUAGCUGACGCUGAGACUCGAAAGCAUGGGUAGCGAUCAGGAUUAGAUACCCUGGUAGUCCAUGCCGUAAUCGAUGAAUGCUAGGUGUUGGAGGGUUUCCGCCCUUCAGUGCCGCAGCUAUCGCAUUAAGCAUUCCGCAUGGGGAGUACGACCGCAAGGUUGAAACUCAAAGGAAUUGGCGGGGGCCCGCACAAGCGGUGGAGCAUGUGGUUUAAUUCGAAGCAACGCGAAGAACCUUACCAGGUCUUGACAUCUUUUGAUCACCUGAGAGAUCAGGUUUCCCCUUCGGGGGCAAAAUGACAGGUGGUGCAUGGUUGUCGUCAGCUCGUGUCGUGAGAUGUUGGGUUAAGUCCCGCAACGAGCGCAACCCUUAUGACUAGUUGCCAGCAUUUAGUUGGGCACUCUAGUAAGACUGCCGGUGACAAACCGGAGGAAGGUGGGGAUGACGUCAAAUCAUCAUGCCCCUUAUGACCUGGGCUACACACGUGCUACAAUGGAUGGUACAACGAGUUGCGAGACCGCGAGGUCAAGCUAAUCUCUUAAAGCCAUUCUCAGUUCGGACUGUAGGCUGCAACUCGCCUACACGAAGUCGGAAUCGCUAGUAAUCGCGGAUCAGCACGCCGCGGUGAAUACGUUCCCGGGCCUUGUACACACCGCCCGUCACACCAUGAGAGUUUGUAACACCCGAAGCCGGUGGCGUAACCCUUUUAGGGAGCGAGCCGUCUAAGGUGGGACAAAUGAUUAGGGGA
rnacentral:rRNA from 1 species